rnacentral:tRNA from 1 species
GCCGGGGUGGUGGAAUGGUAGACACCGGGGACUUAAAAUCCCCUCCCAGUAAUGGGGUGUGAGUUCGAAUCUCAUCCCCGGCA